UUGUCUAUGGAGUGAUCAUGUUUAUAAAUGUAAUACUGCAAGACUUUAAUGUGCGCGCGCGCGUCUUGCUUCCAACACUGGAGCGGAGAGGAUGUUGCUAUGGGAAACGAAGCUACAACACGACACGACGCCACCAGAAAGAUACAACACGACUUCUCUCAAGCUGCCGUUUUGACUGUUUUCAGGCAAAACCGGAGCACCCAGAGAAAACCCACCAAACGCAGAGAGAAUUUGCAAACUACACACAGAAAUGCCUGCUGAUCCAGCUGCGGCUCGAGUCAGCAUCCUUGCUUAUUGGAUGCCUGAUUGCAGUUCAACUCCAAACUCAGUUGGACCAGCUGAUCAGUGUCUU